rnacentral:rRNA from 1 species
UACGGGGGGGGCAAGCGUUGUUCGGAAUUACUGGGCGUAAAGGGCUCGUAGGCGGCCAACUAAGUCGGACGUGAAAUCCCCAGGCUCAACCUGGGAACUGCGUCCGAUACUGGAUGGCUUGAAUCCGGGAGAGGGAUGCAGAAUUCCAGGUGUAGCGGUGAAAUGCGUAGAUAUCCAGAGGAACACCAGUGGCGAAGGCGACUCACUGGGCUCCACCUGACACUGAGGCGCGAAAGCGUGGGGAGCGAACCGG